UUGAACGCUGGCGGCAGGCCUAACACAUGCAAGUCGAGCGGUAGCACAGAGAGCUUGCUCUCGGGUGACGAGCGGCGGACGGGUGAGUAAUGUCUGGGAAACUGCCUGAUGGAGGGGGAUAACUACUGGAAACGGUAGCUAAUACCGCAUAAUGUCGCAAGACCAAAGUGGGGGACCUUCGGGCCUCAUGCCAUCAGAUGUGCCCAGAUGGGAUUAGCUAGUAGGUGGGGUAACGGCUCACCUAGGCGACGAUCCCUAGCUGGUCUGAGAGGAUGACCAGCCACACUGGAACUGAGACACGGUCCAGACUCCUACGGGAGGCAGCAGUGGGGAAUAUUGCACAAUGGGCGCAAGCCUGAUGCAGCCAUGCCGCGUGUGUGAAGAAGGCCUUCGGGUUGUAAAGCACUUUCAGCGGGGAGGAAGGCGUUAAGGUUAAUAACCUUGGCGAUUGACGUUACCCGCAGAAGAAGCACCGGCUAACUCCGUGCCAGCAGCCGCGGUAAUACGGAGGGUGCAAGCGUUAAUCGGAAUUACUGGGCGUAAAGCGCACGCAGGCGGUCUGUCAAGUCGGAUGUGAAAUCCCCGGGCUCAACCUGGGAACUGCAUUCGAAACUGGCAGGCUAGAGUCUUGUAGAGGGAGGUAGAAUUCCAGGUGUAGCGGUGAAAUGCGUAGAGAUCUGGAGGAAUACCGGUGGCGAAGGCGGCCCCCUGGACAAAGACUGACGCUCAGGUGCGAAAGCGUGGGGAGCAAACAGGAUUAGAUACCCUGGUAGUCCACGCCGUAAACGAUGUCGAUUUGGAGGUUGUGCCCUUGAGGCGUGGCUUCCGGAGCUAACGCGUUAAAUCGACCGCCUGGGGAGUACGGCCGCAAGGUUAAAACUCAAAUGAAUUGACGGGGGCCCGCACAAGCGGUGGAGCAUGUGGUUUAAUUCGAUGCAACGCGAAGAACCUUACCUGGUCUUGACAUCCACAGAACUUUCCAGAGAUGGAUUGGUGCCUUCGGGAACUGUGAGACAGGUGCUGCAUGGCUGUCGUCAGCUCGUGUUGUGAAAUGUUGGGUUAAGUCCCGCAACGAGCGCAACCCUUAUCCUUUGUUGCCAGCGGUUCGGCCGGGAACUCAAAGGAGACUGCCAGUGAUAAACUGGAGGAAGGUGGGGAUGACGUCAAGUCAUCAUGGCCCUUACGACCAGGGCUACACACGUGCUACAAUGGCAUAUACAAAGAGAAGCGACCUCGCGAGAGCAAGCGGACCUCAUAAAGUAUGUCGUAGUCCGGAUUGGAGUCUGCAACUCGACUCCAUGAAGUCGGAAUCGCUAGUAAUCGUAGAUCAGAAUGCUACGGUGAAUACGUUCCCGGGCCUUGUACACACCGCCCGUCACACCAUGGGAGUGGGUUGCAAAAGAAGUAGGUAGCUUAACCUUCGGGAGGGCGCUUACCACUUUGUGAUUCAUGACUGGGGUG
rnacentral:rRNA from 1 species